ACUCAAAGGAAUUGACGGGGGCCCGCACAAGCGGUGGAGCAUGUGGUUCAAUUCGAUGCAACGCGAAGAACCUUACCGGGGUUUGAACUGCAGUUGAAAGCACCAGAGAUGGUGCCUUCUAGCAAUAGACAACUGCAGAGGUGCUGCAUGGCUGUCGUCAGCUCGUGUCGUGAGAUGUUGGGUUAAGUCCCGCAACGAGCGCAACCCUUGCUUUUAGUUGCUCAUUUUCACGUAAGUGGAGGUAGCACUCUAAUAGGACUGCCGGUGAUAAACCGGAGGAAGGUGGGGAUGACGUCAAGUCAUCAUGGCCUUUAUGCCCCGGGCUACACACGUGCUACAAUGGCCGGUACAAAGGGUAGCAAAACUGCAAAGUGGAGCCAAUCCCAUCAAAGCCGGCCUCAGUUCGGAUUGCACUCUGCAACUCGAGUGCAUGAAGUUGGAAUCGCUAGUAAUCGCGGAUCAGCAUGCCGCGGUGAAUACGUUUCCGGGCCUUGCACACACCGCCCGU
rnacentral:rRNA from 1 species